AAGCAAGUCAAGGUUGCCUUGGUGGUGGGUCCAACAUUUAGCUGGUAUCUACCAUCGGCACACGACACGUGUCGAGUCAAUUAAGGUGAUUCGGGACGGGUCGUGUCAAUUGGUAUCAGAGCAUGAUCAUAAAGUCAGCUUGCAUUACAUUAUUUGAUUUUGCUUUCAACAUGUCAUACAUAUUUUGUAGUUGGAGGUCAUGGCUCGUGUGGUAAUACUCGCAGGCUCCUUGAUGUGCUGCCUCAACCACAAGUUACUUCUGAUUGAGAUGACAUUAGAGAGGUCAGUAAGGUUGAUGAAUCAGUUUAUCAGGCCUAUGAGUAGUAACAUGGGGAUGUAGCUCAGGUGGUAGAGUGUUUAAUGUUACGAGUUGUCCCGAUGAUCGAAAAUUACUUCUUACUAUUGGAAUGUAUGGAAAUUAAAAUGAUGGAAGAAUAUUUUUAAUAGAUUCAGAAAUGACUAGUAUGUAAUUAUGUCAGUUGAAAAAAAUUUAAUGGUUGACAAGGUUACAAGUUGUGUUGGUAUACUGAUGUAUGUAACAUAUUAAGAAAUGAACAGAUUAUCAAUUUGAAGUGAAAGUUUU
rnacentral:lncRNA from 1 species